AGAAUUAUGAUUUUGAUAAUGAUGAAGAGAUUUUUCAAGUUUAGCCAUUCUAACUUUUAGUUCACCCUUUUCCUAUCGGCUUUCUGACAAACUCUUCUCUAAGGCCUCGUUUCGUGUUUGAGCUUCUUGGAAUUUCCUUUCCCACCUAUCGGCCUUGAUCUUUUCCUCUCGAAUCUCUUGAUGCCACUGUUCUGAAGUUUUCCCCAAC
rnacentral:lncRNA from 1 species